CCUCCUUGAAAAAGCUAUAAAUAGAAGUGUUCCCCAAGAAUUCUUCAUCAAUGCUUCCUCCGAUUUUAUUUUUCCGUGGGCAAGAGUUUAGCUUGAGAAGAUUACUUAUCGCUUUUGGCCUCUUUCUUUCCUACAAGUUGUUCGGGACCUCCAGCUUUGCACGUCUGUGGAAAACAAUUCCUAUCUCAUUGUAGGAGCGUCAAAAUUGCGAGCCGUUAGAUUUUCCAAAAACUGGACACAAAGUUCUGCAAUAUAUCAAAGGGACAUCGAAAUCACGAGCGGUUUGCUUUGACAGAAGCUAGACUUUCAGAGCUACGAUAUGUAUGAGGAUCACAAUAAGAUUAUCCCUAGAUCUUCCCAGAUAUUUAUCAGAAUUCAAGAAACAAGUUUCGACAUGCCAGUUCAUCCAGCUUUGCAUACUCUCGUCGAAAAAUUCAUAUCUCGAGAUAGGAGUGUCAGAAUUGUAAUCCACUUGAUCCUGUAAAAACCAGGUUUCAGGACCUAUAUUCACUCCAAAGAUUGAAGCUCAGUACACUCUGGAACGACCCGCACAAUUAUUCGAAGUCGACACUACAAUCUGCACAUUGUGCUCAAACAUUGUGACUUGGGCAGCAUAUCCUCGUUGUUUUGCAGCUUCGGCAAGAGAAAGAUUUGGGCGUCCCCAUCCUUGUGACUUUGGCGACAAAGGUAUAUGAAGGACCUCUCUUUGCAGCCUUUGGCGAGAAAGUCCAUGGCGAGUUCUCUGUGGCAGAUCACGUGAAGAAUUACAUGAUCAACGCAAUCUUUCUUUCUUUAUUUUUUUUUUUUUUUUUUUUUUUUUUUUUGUAGGCGAAGAGGUGCAUGGAACUUUCUAUCCAUUGAGUCUUGGCAUGGAUGACUUCUUGAAACUUAACGAAGAAGUUCACGGCUUUGAUGGAAUAAUCUUUGGAGCAUUACUUCCUUCAAGAUUUGGUGGAGAAGUGCAUGUCACAAUGUUCACCAUCUAUAUUAGAGCGCCCUGUCAUUGACACCGGUACUUGCUGCUGAAUUAAAGAUCCAUGUCGUUGAUACCGAUAAAUUAAAUAGGACCAAAAGCUUCGUGCUGUAGUCACCGAGGGCUCCAGAACCUUUUCUCUUUUGCUGCAGAAGCUGUCCAGGAUGGCCAUCUUUGCGAAUCUGUAGAGAAAACAACCAUAUCUUGUUGUAGGAGAAUCAUACUACAAGCCGUUUGAUCCUUUUGAAACUACACUUCAAAUACUUCAUCAUAUCAAAAUUUUGGGGCUAAAUUCCUUCUCUAGCUUCUCAUG